AUUUCUUAGUACCUGAUAUAAGUAAGGGGUGUGUAUUGUUUUACUGCAUUGCUGUAAGCAUGUGUAAAAGAGGUCUAAAUGAAAACAGGGUGCAGGGAGUGAACCAGGUGCAGGAGGAGACGUCUGCAGCCAGGUUCCUGCACUAGCUGCCAUUGCCACCACUACCGAUGAGGGCACUUGUCCCGCUCCCCAGCCCUGCUUCAGUUCUACAGGGCAAGACUGCCGCUGAAAUACUCCGCUGCUUUCCCUCCUGAAUGCUUCAUUAAUCCCCUAGCCCUCAGCCGGUUACACCUGAUUUUCUUUGCCUUUACAAACAGCUUCAUUCGGCUCAGUGAGCCAAGAGACAUUUAGGGUCCAGAGCUGGGCUUUGGGGCUCCCGGAGGCACUGCGAGCACAGAGCUCCCCCGAGCAGCACCCUCGGGGCUGGGGCUGGCCUGCAGGGCAGGAGGGGCCUUCAAAAUACAGAUAACAUCUAAAUCCUGAAAUCAGGAUACAUACAGCCUAUAGAAAAUAUAGGUAUUUCUGUUUCAAGCACGGACGUUUCCUGACAAAUAUCUCUGAGCAAAUUGUUUCCUCAGUACAUCUGAGCUGCAUUUCCUCACAUGAUGAACAAGACUGCAGACUGAUAAAAGCCAAUCUGAUGCAGUGCAAUCCAGUGCCACAGAUGAAAAACAGCUGAUGAAACAUCUGAAUUUGAUGAAAACCCUUCAGCAGGAUAACUAGUCUUGCUUAUUCUCAGCGGAGGCAGUUGGAUUUUAUCUGAAGGCAUGGUUAUUGUGAGGAUGUGGAGAAAAGAACCUUUAAUGGCUCGUCCAUUAAACCCUAGAGUUUCAUGGACUUGGGGUUUCACAGAAUAUUU
rnacentral:lncRNA from 1 species